GUACCACCUAUAAUCGUUUUAAUCGAUGGGGGGACGCAGUAGGAUAGGCGAAGCGUGCGAUUGGAUUGCACGUCUAAGCAGUAAGGCUGAGUAUUAGGCAAAUCCGGUACUCGUUAAGGCUGAGCUGUGAUGGGGAGAAGACAUUGUGUCUUCGAGUCGUUGAUUUCACACUGCCGAGAAAAGCCUCUAGAUAGAAAAUAGGUGCCCGUAC
rnacentral:rRNA from 1 species